GACAGUCACUCUGAAGUGUGAGAUAGAGGAUCAGUACAGAUCAUUAAACUGGAGAUAUCUGUGGUAUAAAGGCAGAACUGGGACUUCAGUGUUUGAGGGAAACAUCUACACCAUCAGAUCACCAUCAGAUCAGGAUGAGUUCUGGUGUAGAGGAGAGAGAGAUGGACGACCCUCAUCCUCACAGUACAGUGAUCAUGUGACUCUCUCUGUUAAAGGAUCAAAACCAAAACCUGAAGUCACAUCAGAUACUGAAGGAUCUGUACUGACAGAGAGUCUUAAACCUGUAGUGAGUGUUGAUCCUGACAAAAAGCUGUUCAGAGGAGAAACUGUUACUCUGAGAUGUGACAUACAGGAUACAGGAGACACUGAGUGGACAUACAGCUGGACUGUAGAGAAGACAAAUAACAGAAAUAUAAUCACACAAUGCAACACACAAGAGUGUAAAAUCAACAACAUUCAACAGACUGACAGUGUUAAAUACACCUGUAGAGGAA